UGGGGAAUAUUGCACAAUGGGCGAAAGCCUGAUGCAGCAACGCCGCGUGAGCGAUGAAGGCCUUCGGGUCGUAAAGCUCUGUCCUCAAGGAAGAUAUUGACGGUACCUGCAGAAAAAGCAACGGCUAACUACGUGCCAGCAGCCGCGGUAAUACGUAGGUUGCAAGCGUUGUCCGGAUUUACUGGGUGUAAAGGGCGUGUAGGCGGAGAUGCAAGUUGGGAGUGAAAUCCCGGGGCUCAACCCCGGAACUGCUUUCAAAACUGCAUCCCUUGAGUGUCGGAGAGGCAAGCGGAAUUCCUAGUGUAGCGGUGAAAUGCGUAGAUAUUAGGAGGAACACCAGUGGCGAAGGCGGCUUGCUGGACGAUAACUGACGCUGAGGCGCGAAAGCGUGGGGAGCAAACAGG
rnacentral:rRNA from 1 species